rnacentral:rRNA from 1 species
CACGUAGGGCGCAAGCGUUGUCCGGAAUUAUUGGGCGUAAAGAGCUCGUAGGCGGUCUGUUGCGUCCGCUGUGAAAACCCGGGGCUUAACCCUGGGCUGGCAGUGGAUACGGACAGACUAGAGGUAGGUAGGGGAGAAUGGAAUUCCCGGUGUAGCGGUGAAAUGCGCAGAUAUCGGGAGGAACACCGGUGGCGAAGGCGGUUCUCUGGACCACUACUGACGCUGAGGCGCGAAAAGCUAGGGGGAGCAAACAGG